rnacentral:lncRNA from 1 species
GCACCACCCAGGGGCCAACUGUGCUGUGGAGCAUAGGUUUCCAGAUCGAAUGGCCGGGCUGGGGGCUGGGAAAGGAGAGCAGCGGUCCCUCUCCUGUAUGUGGUGCUUUUCCAUUUCUAAAAUGCUCCAGGGAUCCCCACCAUCUCAUGUGCUCUGCACAACACUCUCUGGAGGAGGAGGGAAUCCCCCUGCAGCUGAGAACACAGGUGGAGGAGGGAAAUGUUCUUCCUGUCCAAGGUCUGAGCUGCGGGGCAGCAAAGCAAAACCACCUUAUGAAUCAAGAGCACAGCCACUCCUGCCCACUCAGCUCCUCUCUGGCACUGUGGCUGGUGGGAUUCAUGUGCUUGCUUGCUUGGCCAAGUAGGCAGUAGACAAAGGCCGAGGCCCGAGGAAGGCAGUGGAACUCACAAGGGCGAGGGCCAUCACCCGGCCUCACCUGCAUCUGCUUCAUCUAGUAUUUAUGGGAAAGGAGUGACUUCAUUUAGCUGCAUGUGUUCAGGGCUGAGGAAUUAAAUAUUAACCAUGGAAAUGGGUCUGGUCACACUCCCCAGUGGGGCUGUGACAGUUGGAGUGAGGCAGAGGGCCCUGGGCACCUCCCAGUGGUGCUCUUUAUAGUAUAUGCAGUUGGCAGACUCAGAAGCCGAUGUGUCACGGCUAUUUUUGGUUACUGAUUAGAGUCCUGUUCAAAAAUAUGCUUCAUUCCUCAGAAAUUCCAGAAAUGGAUAGUCCUUAACCAUCAGCAAAAUGCCCACAUGUCCAAAAUGAAACUGUUCAGCCAAGGGCUGGAAGGGGCCAGGGCUGCACCUCUUCCCCCAGCUGGAGUUCCUUGCUCAGGAUGACCCAGAUCCGCCAGCUCCUGCCACCCACCGCUGCAGAGGGAAAGCAGGAUUGGCUGAGAACAAGGCUGGCCUCAGUUUCAUGGAAGAUUCCAGAUGGAGACCAAGGGCCAUUACAGGACUGGAGGCCUGUGCUGAGGGAUGUGCUGGCAGUUUUGAUCCCUCAGCUCCAGGGCAAAUGUGGAUCGCAGAUGUCCUGUGAGCCAGGCUCUCACCCACUCAUUUCCUCCGUGAGAGCCCCUCUCCUGAGUGCCUUCCCUCUGCCAGGUGCUGGGCACCAAGGACACCAAGAUGCAUGAAGCAUGAGCCCCACCCUCAAUGGGCUUAGAAAAUGCCAUGAGCACACAGAAAUCAAAUGCGAG